rnacentral:lncRNA from 1 species
UCUAUAAAAGAGAGGUAAAUGAACAAUAUGGAUAAGAUAAUUCUGGACGAAGGUUCUGUCAUUCCAAAUUCUCUUUAUUUGCUGUUCACCAACCUUUUGUCUGACUUAAGCAUCGGAGGGUCUCCGUCGGAUACAAUUCUGAUUUGUGAGGACUUCAUUUUAUCGGUACUCUUCAUCGAUGACGGAUGCAACAGGAGAUUAGCCACAACAGAUUGACGCACCAGAAAGGGAGACAACUACAAUCAAUCAUAUCAAAAAUUAAAGCUCAACACUCGACUGGAUCGGUGAGGCAGUCUUCCCAUCGAAAAGAUAUUCCUCCUCUAUCUCUAGUGGUAGGCCCAAUUCUUCGCAUCCUGUGGUCACCACAGAUGCACAGAUU